UCGACACAUGUGCCCUUCUUAC
rnacentral:siRNA from 1 species